CCAGCAGCCGCGGUAAUACAGAGGGUGCAAGCGUUAAUCGGAAUUACUGGGCGUAAAGGGAGCGUAGGUGGCUCGAUAAGUCAGAUGUGAAAUCCCCGGGCUCAACCUGGGAACUGCAUUUGAUACUGUUGAGCUAGAGUAUGUGAGAGGAAGGUAGAAUUCCAGGUGUAGCGGUGAAAUGCGUAGAGAUCUGGAGGAAUACCGAUGGCGAAGGCAGCCUUCUGGCAUAAUACUGACACUGAGGCUCGAAAGCGUGGGUAGCAAACAGGAUUAGAUACCCUGGUAGUCCACGCCGUAAACGAUGUCUACUAGUCGUUGGGUCCCUUGAGGUCUUAGUGACGCAGCUAACGCAAUAAGUAGACCGCCUGGGGAGUACGGCCGCAAGGUUAAAACUCAAAUGAAUUGACGGGGGCCCGCACAAGCGGUGGAGCAUGUGGUUUAAUUCGAUGCAACGCGAAGAACCUUACCUGGUCUUGACA
rnacentral:rRNA from 1 species